rfam:Nicotiana sylvestris Nsyl_contig240906, whole genome shotgun sequence.
AUUCGCUGGAUGAGUGUGAGGCGUUGGAUUGAUUUCACUCAAUCCGAGCCCCACAUUCAUCAAGGGGUUCGU